rnacentral:rRNA from 1 species
UGAGGAAUAUUGCGCAAUGGUCGCAAGACUGACGCAGCAACGCCGCGUGAGGGAUGAAGUACUUCGGUAUGUAAACCUCUGUUAGAAGGGAAGAACGGGUGGAUGUCGAACAGGCAUUCAUCGUGACGGUACCUUCAGAGAAAGCCCCGGCUAACUCCGUGCCAGCAGCCGCGGUAAUACGGGGGGGGCAAGCGUUGUCCGGAAUUAUUGGGCGUAAAGGGCGCGUAGGUGGGACAGCAAGUCUGGGGUGCAAUCGUACGGCUUAACUGUAAGCGUGCCCUGGAUACUACUGUUCUUGAGUUCGGAAGAGGGUAGUGGAAUUCCUGGUGUAGCGGUGAGAUGCGUAGAUAUCAGGAAGAACACCGGUGGCGAAGGCGGCUACCUGGUCCGAUACUGACACUGAGGCGCGAAAGUGCGGGGAGCAAACAG